rnacentral:rRNA from 1 species
AACCAUAUGUCUUCAAUAUUUGGCGACUUCUGCUCAAUGAAAAUUUAAAUAGCCGCAGUACAUUGACUGUGCAAAGGUAGCAUAAUCAGUUGGCUUAUAAUUGAAGUCUAGUAUGAAAGAAUAAAAUGGGCGGGCGCUGUCUUCUUAAGGUAUCUAGAACUUACUUAGUAAGUGAAAAUACUUACAUAUAAAUAAAAGACGAGAAGACCCUUGAAGUUUCUCAAAGAAUGAACCUUGUUGUUCAGGCCUGUUUUGCUGGGGCGGCAAGGUAACAGUCAAACUUAUCUACAACUAUCUGAAGUUUUUUAGCAGUAAGACUAAAUUACUCUAGGGAUAACAGCAUAAUUUUUAAAAGCUUGUGACCUCGAUGUUGGACUAGGGCCAACAACGCUCAGAAGGUGUUGUUGCACGUUCUGUUCGAACGGGAAGACCCUACAUG